rnacentral:SRP_RNA from 1 species
UGCCGUGCUAAGCGGGGAGGUAGCGGUGCCCUGUACUCGCAAUCCGCUCUAGCGAGGCCGAAUUCCUUCUUGAGGUUAGCUCAUCUUAGGGCCUGCCUUAAGUAAGUGGUGUUGACGUUUGGGUCCUAUGCAAUGGGAAUCUGUGAACCCUGUCAGGUCCGGAAGGAAGCAGCAGUAAGCAGAACCUCUCAUGUGCCAUGGGGUCGCCUGAACCGAGCUAACUGCUUAAGUAACGCCUGGGGUGGCUAAUCGACGGAAGGUGCACGGCA